rnacentral:lncRNA from 10 species
CAAGACUUCAAACAGCAAUCUUUUGAAACAACAUUUUGCCUCAGAGUUUCUAAUUGUUUUUGGUACAAUGAUUAGUUGAUUCAACAGUUUGACUUUGGAAACUCAUGCUCCAUGAAGAGUAGCGAUGGAAUAUAAAAUUUUGGCUGAAGUGUUGCUUCUCCUGAGCCAAAUAAUCAGGCUAUGAAGUUCCUUCAAGUUCUCUGCAUCCUUCCUGUGAUAAGAUUAACACUUCAGAUCUUCUGCGAAGGAAGAAUCUGGAAUAUUCACUUCCAAACAACCCCUUUUGUUGUGUCAGCCUGAGGCCCAUCACUUGCCCUUUUCAGCAAAGCGUUUAAAUAUUUUAAUGAAUUCCA